rnacentral:lncRNA from 1 species
GGCCGCUGUCAGAGCCGGCUCGGCCGGCUGCCAGUACCCUGGUGGAGGUGUGUUGAGUUCAUAGCGACCCUGUGAGGUCUUCUGGCUAGAUUCUAGAGGACUUUCUCCAAAAACAACAAGCCACGUGUAAGAAGCAACCUGCUGUGAACUAGAAUUGUGAUGCUGGGAGUGAUCUGAUUCCUGCAGGCCCCUCUCCCUUCUCAGCUCUGCUACGUGGAGAGGCCAUACGAGAAGCCAUAUAAGAAGGAGAGGCCCUGAGAGAAAAGCCUAGCUAGAGGAAUUUAAGGCCAGACCCCUGCUGACCUACUAGCUGGGUGAAUCCACAUGAGUGACCAUUGGCAAGAUCAACAGAAGAGUCACCCAGCUAAGACCGGAUUGCAGAAUUGUAAGCAAAUAAAAUGUUUAUUGUUUUAAGCCA